rnacentral:rRNA from 1 species
AAUCAACGCUGGCGGCGUGCCUCAGACAUGCAAGUCGAACGCGAAAGUUUCCUUCGGGGAACAAGUAGAGUGGCGCACGGGUGAGUAACACGUAGGUAAUCUACCUUUGGAUGGGGAAUAACAACCGGAAACGGUUGCUAAUACCGCAUAAUGCAGCGGCACCUAAUGGGUGACAGUUGUUAAAGCGGGGGAUCGAAAGACCUCGCGUCUGAAGAGGAGCCUGCGGCGGAUUAGCAGUUGGUAAGGUAAUGGCUUACCAAGGCGACGAUCCGUAACCGGCCUGAGAGGGCGGUCGGUCACACUGACACUGACAUACGGGUCAGACUCCUACGGGAGGCAGCAGUC